rnacentral:lncRNA from 1 species
CUUACAAAUGAUCACUAUAUAAUUACAUGGAUUGUGUUAAUUAUUUGAAAGCUAUACCACAUGCAGGAAUUGAGAUUAAACAUUUAUUAAACAAUUUAGUUUAUCAAAAAUAGUUUUUUUUAUAAAUUGCACAAUAUUUACUUUUUUUCAUCCAGAAUAUUAAGCUGAAACCAUAUAAGUAAGACAUAUUGUAUGCUAUAAAUGCGUUGAACUUUGUGUUCUCUAUAUUAUAAUAAAACGCACACCUAAUUGUUUUCAAACAAAACUAAACCGUUUUCGAAUGGUUAAUCCGCCCAAUAACUUUUAAAUUGAAGGUAUAAAAUAUUAUUUUUCUGAAGUACCUAAUACAUUUUAACAACUUAUCGAAUAAUAAAACUAUCUUAUAACGCUACAAGUGCCCGUUUUUUUUCUCUAAUCUAAUAGGCGAGGAAACGCAUAUAAUAAUAUGAUCUAAACUCUGUUUCAACAGAUGCGUACAACUAUAAACAUAGUAUUUCGUUUAUCGUUAUACUAUACAUAAUAUUAUAUUAUGCACGAAUUAUGUAACCAUAUAACAACUGAUACCAAGUGUAACAAAAAAGUAACAUAUUAAUUUCGAAUUGACCCCUAGCAACAACAAAAAACAUCUUCACGUCGAAAAUAAAUGUGUUUUUUAUUUCCAAUAUUUAUAGAUUUAUAUUUCUAAUAGGUAAUGAUAUUUUAUAAAUCCGUUUGCCACCGAUCACCACAACCACAUUUCCUGCUUGCAAUGUCUACCUAUAUGGCAUAUUGAGAAUUAUACUGUAAAAUCGAAACACCAUGGAUGUAAACAAGGCUAGGCAUGUUAACAAUUUUUUUUUUACUCGUUAAAUAAAAAAACGUGUAUUAUUGAAGCUGGCUGAAAACAAAAUAUAGACCAUCAUCACUAAAAGCAAUCUUGAUUAGUAACAAUAAACAGUCAUAAACAUUAAACAAACGGUAUAUUAGUUCCUGUCAACGAUUAUGAACAAUAACAGUUGUUAUAUACAAAUUGAAGAAGAGAUUAUUGCCAAACAACCCAAACAAAAAUAUGAAAAUACUACUAGCUUUCUUAUUUUUUUGGUGUAAUAUCAGGAUUUAGAUUGACAAAAACUUUACAACAGAAACGCAUUGAAGAAAUUCAUCAGUUGGAUAAAGACUUACAGGAUAUUAUUCGUAAAACAGGAGACGUGCUGACUAACAUGGAGAUCCAUGAGGUCAAUAAGUGGCUGUUGAUCCAAGACGCUUUUUUGUGGGGCUAUGAACGGAUUAAGGAAAAAAUUGCAAAUAACAAACCAAAUAAUGCAAAUAGCACGAAUAUUAUGGAAACAAACACAAGUGACACCAAUAUAAAUAAAGACACUAAUAUAAACUCGGGAAUGAGGAAACGCAAUAAAUAUAACUAUUGUACAUGAUCAUAAUCGUAGCAAGAAUGAAGGCAUAACUCAUAAUCAUAGCAGGAGUUAGAAAAAAUGUAGUAAAGACAAUUAAAACAAUAUAAUUUUGUUUUAAUUAUCUUCACUUCAUUUUAGUUAUAAGGAAAUAUAAAAAAUAAUGUAAAAAAUA